CCUACGGGAGGCAGCAGUGAGGGAAUAUUGGUCAAUGGGCGCAAGCCUGAACCAGCCAUGCCGCGUGCAGGAAGACGGUCCUAUGGAUUGUAAACUGCUUUUAUACAGGAAGAAACACUCCCUCGUGAGGGAGCUUGACGGUACUGUAAGAAUAAGGAUCGGCUAACUCCAGUGCCAGCAGCCGCCGGUAAU
rnacentral:rRNA from 1 species